rnacentral:rRNA from 1 species
AGAGUUUGAUCCUGGCUCAGGAUGAACGCUAGCGAGAGGCCUAACACAUGCAAGUCGAGGGGCAGCAUUAAGGUAGCUUGCUACUUUAGAUGGCGACCGGCGCACGGGUGCGUAACACGUAUGCAACCUGCCCGUCAUUGUGGAAUAACCCGGAGAAAUCCGGCCUAAUACCGCAUGAUACUGAGAAGAGGCAUCUCUUUUCAUUUAAAGAAUUUCGAUGACGGAUGGGCAUGCGGAUGAUUAGCUAGUCGGCGGGGUAACGGCCCACCGAGGCGACGAUCAUUAGGGGUUCUGAGAGGAAGGUCCCCCACACUGGUACUGAGACACGGACCAGACUCCUACGGGAGGCAGCAGUGAGGAAUAUUGGUCAAUGGGCGCAAGCCUGAACCAGCCAAGUCGCGUGAAGGAAGACUGCCCUAUGGGUUGUAAACUUCUUUUGCAUGGGAAUAAAGUGAGCCACGUGUGGCUUUUUGUAUGUACCAUGCGAAUAAGCAUCGGCUAACUCCGUGCCAGCAGCCGCGGUAAUACGGAGGAUGCGAGCGUUAUCCGGAUUUAUUGGGUUUAAAGGGUGCGUAGGCGGGAUGGUAAGUCAGUGGUGAAAGUUUGCGGCUCAACCGUAAAAUUGCCGUUGAAACUGCCGUUCUUGAGUGCGAGCGAGGUAGGCGGAAUGUGCCGUGUAGCGGUGAAAUGCAUAGAUAUGGUACAGAACUCCGAUUGCGAAGGCAGCCUACCAGUACGCUACUGACGCUGAGGCACGAAAGCGUGGGUAUCGAACAGGAUUAGAUACCCUGGUAGUCCACGCAGUAAACGAUGGAUGCUAGCUGUUUGCGAUACAAUGUAAGCGGCCGAGCGAAAGUGUUAAGCAUCCCACCUGGGGAGUACGCCGGCAACGGUGAAACUCAAAGGAAUUGACGGGGGCCCGCACAAGCGGAGGAACAUGUGGUUUAAUUCGAUGAUACGCGAGGAACCUUACCCGGGCUUGAAAGUUAGCGACGGACUUGGAGACAGGUCCUCCCUUCGGGGCGCGAAACUAGGUGCUGCAUGGUUGUCGUCAGCUCGUGCCGUGAGGUGUCGGCUUAAGUGCCAUAACGAGCGCAACCCUUGUCGAUAGUUACCAUCGGUUAAAGCCGGGGACUCUAUCGAGACUGCCACCGUAAGGUGUGAGGAAGGUGGGGAUGACGUCAAAUCAGCACGGCCCUUACGUCCGGGGCGACACACGUGUUACAAUGGGAGGUACAGCGGGCAGCUACCUGGCGACAGGAUGCGAAUCCCGAAAGCCUUCCCCAGUUCGGAUUGGAGUCUGCAACCCGACUCCAUGAAGCUGGAUUCGCUAGUAAUCGCGCAUCAGCCAUGGCGCGGUGAAUACGUUCCCGGGCCUUGCACUCACCGCCCGUCAAG